rnacentral:rRNA from 1 species
GAUGAACGCUGGCGGCGUGCCUAAUACAUGCAAGUAGAACGCUGAAGCUUGGUGCUUGCACCGAGCGGAUGAGUUGCGAACGGGUGAGUAACGCGUAGGUAACCUGCCUCUUAGCGGGGGAUAACUAUUGGAAACGAUAGCUAAUACCGCAUAAAAGACGAUAUCGCAUGAUGUUGAUUUGAAAGGUGCAAUUGCAUCACUAAGAGAUGGACCUGCGUUGUAUUAGCUAGUUGGUGAGGUAACGGCUCACCAAGGCGACGAUACAUAGCCGACCUGAGAGGGUGAUCGGCCACACUGGGACUGAGACACGGCCCAGACUCCUACGGGAGGCAGCAGUAGGGAAUCUUCGGCAAUGGGGGCAACCCUGACCGAGCAACGCCGCGUGAGUGAAGAAGGUUUUCGGAUCGUAAAGCUCUGUUGUAAGAGAAGAACGAGUGUGAGAGUGGAAAGUUCACACUGUGACGGUAACUUACCAGAAAGGGACGGCUAACUACGUGCCAGCAGCCGCGGUAAUACGUAGGUCCCGAGCGUUAUCCGGAUUUAUUGGGCGUAAAGCGAGCGCAGGCGGUUAGAUAAGUCUGAAGUUAAAGGCUGUGGCUUAACCAUAGUACGCUUUGGAAACUGUUUAACUUGAGUGCAGAAGGGGAGAGUGGAAUUCCAUGUGUAGCGGUGAAAUGCGUAGAUAUAUGGAGGAACACCGGUGGCGAAAGCGGCUCUCUGGUCUGUAACUGACGCUGAGGCUCGAAAGCGUGGGGAGCAAACAGG